ensembl:misc_RNA
UUGCCCAUCCGGGCUGCGGAUACCUGCUGGGU